rnacentral:rRNA from 1 species
GUACGGGAGGCAGCAGUGAGGAAUCUUCCACAAUGGGCGCAAGCCUGAUGGAGCAACGCCGCGUGCGGGACGACGCGUUUCGGCGUGUAAACCGCUUUUCUUCGGGACGAGAACGGACGGUACCGGAGGAAGAAGCCUCGGCUAACUACGUGCCAGCAGCCGCGGUAAUACGUAGGAGGCGAGCGUUGUCCGGAGUUACUGGGCGUAAAGGGUGCGCAGGCGGUGGCCUAAGUUUGCGGUGAAAGCUCCUGGCUUACCUGGGAGAGGGCCGUGAAGACUGGGGCACUUGAGGCUCGGAGAGGGACGUGGAAUUCCGGGUGGAGCGGUGAAAUGCAUAGAGAUCCGGAAGAACACCAACGGCGAAGGCAGCGUCCUGGCCGAGACCUGACGCUCAGGCACGAAAGCGCGGGGAGCGAACAGGAUUAGAUACCCGUGUAGUCC